rnacentral:sRNA from 1 species
AAGGAGUCUAACAUGUAUGCGAGUAUUUGGGUGUCAAACCCUUAUGCGUAAUGAAAGUGAAAAGGUGGGACAUCUUCUCUUCCUCGGGAGGGAGGAUAGCACCAUCGACCGGGCUUAUCGAGAUUUUCUAAUUUCCUAGUCUGCGUAUGAGCAUAUAUGCUGGGACCCGAAAGAUGGUGAACUAUGCCUGAAUAGGGUGAAGCCAGAGGAAACUCUGGUGGAGGCUCGUAGCGGUUCUGACGUGCAAAUCGAUCGUCAAAUUUGGGUAUAGGGGCGAAAGACUAAUCGAACCAUCUAGUAGCUGGUUCCCUC